rnacentral:lncRNA from 1 species
AUGUUUAAACGUGAACCUGGAACUGUAGAAUGCCCUUCCUUGUUGCAGGGGUUCUCCUUUUUUUUUUUUUUUUGUUUCUUUUUAAAUCCCUCUUUUUGGUUUAGGAAUGACUUGUGCAGAUUAUCUCUAAUGACCAUAUUGAUGGCCUCUGUGCAUCAGACUAUUGAAAAGGAAAUAGGAAAUGCACAUUCCUACCCUCCCCUUCCUCCAGUGAAAUAUAUUUUUUCUUCACCUGUACCAACGCCAUCCUCGGGAGGCCCUGCUGGUGUCCCCUUGUCCCACGGCAUGGUCACAGGGCAUCAUCAGUGCGUGGUCUCCUGCCUGGCACUCGGCCCUGCCCUGCAGGGAGCUUUUCAGAGGACACAGCCAUUAGCAGACCUGCUAAGAUCCUACCUGCCAUGGACACCACGGCCAGUAUUCCUGCUGUGGGAGGCUUCCAGGCAAGGCUCAGGCCUACAGGGUGAGGCUGGGCCUACCAAGGAGUGCUUGCAAAACCCGCAGCCACAGGUGAGUGAAUUCCUGACACAAAGCCCUUCAGGCCGUGACUGGUUGUUUUACACUUGAGGUAGUCUCACUGAGAAAUGGGUAAUCUGGCCCCUGAUGACUUGGGCUGAGGCUCUUCCCUCCCAUGGUAUGUGUGAUCCCAAAUGACAGUGCCAAAAUUAAAGAAUUGUCACUGGUAUCGGUAGCGCUAGUGUUACCAGAGUACUAAUACAGUUGAGAAGACACUUCCCUUACCAACCCCUACUUCAAGCUCCUUAUUGCUACCUUAGAGAAGUAGUAUUGCAGUGUCCUGUGUGAUGUAUUUUGGAGACAAAGUUGGAUGACAUUCAAUUUGUCUGUUGGUUUUCCUCUCCCAACUUCUGUCUGGAUACAGCUGAGCAUAAAAAAAAAAAACCCUCGGCUGAGAAGGUUUUAUAGUUGCACCAAGAUCCCUAAAGCAGUUUCUCCUAAAAUAUUCAGGCUUAGUCACCAGUGAGGAUGCGUAGCGUAGCUCUAAGAUUUGGAAACUGUGUGCGGAUACAAAUGCGCAAAACGCCUACAGCACAGCACCUGGCACCUGAAGCCUCUGUCAGUGCAGGGGGGGAAAAGAGCACGAAAUGAGCUCCUUGGAGGCGCAGCGAGCUCUGCAGCAAGCAGGGCUGUCUGCUGAGAGCCAGCACGUCCCGCUGGAGGUUCCUGAUGCUGAAGUUCGUCCUGACACUGCCUCCUGGCUCAGUACGGCACUUUGCUUGUCUGAGCCUCGGUUUCUAAAUCUGUAUGGUUAAUGGUUAUAAUCUUUCCUUUCUGCCGUUCUUUUCCUUCUUAUUUUUAUGUCAGUUCUCAGUAGGGGAAGUUUCUUCUUUUUAACAGCCUUGCUUUCAAUUUAACAACUCUCUGCUUUCCUGUAGAAAAUUGCAAAUAGAUUCUCCCAGCUGCUUUCUUCCUACACCGGGUUAAUUUCUUUCCUUGGGACUUAGCGAGGAGAAAGAUGCCUGCCACGAGCAGGCUUUCAGUGCUGAGGAGCGUGUUGUCUCCUGCUGACCUGAGCCUCCAAGCCCCUGGCAACCUGGAAUUUCCUUUAGGGCUUCUUCCAGUCCAGAGCAAGGUUUUAAAAAAAAUUAAAUCAAGGUAGCAGAGCCCAACA